CUCUCGGCAACGGAUAUCUCGGCUCUCGCAUCGAUGAAGAACGUAGCGAAAUGCGAUACUUGGUGUGAAUUGCAGAAUCCCGUGAACCAUCGAGUUUUUGAACGCAAGUUGCGCCCGAAGCCAUCUGGCCAGGGCACGUCUGCCUGGGCGUCACG
rnacentral:rRNA from 1 species